rnacentral:lncRNA from 1 species
UCCGGGCUCUUCAGACUUGCUGCAGUUUUAUUUCUUCUGUCUUAAAGACAACACUCGGAGAACAAACUUCACCCCGCUGUGUGGACGGUGAGAGGACACAGAGCUCACCGUGGAACUGACUUUAAGAAAUCUACUUGCGUCUCAGAGGGGUGGCCUGGUUACAGCACAUCAUCUUCCUCCUCCUCCUCCUCCUCCUCUUCGUGUGGCUGGUCGUGGUCCAGCUGCAGGACCCCGCCCUCCUGCUGUCAGGACGGAAACACAACAUGUGAGCAGAGCGGAGGAAAACUCCAGGAUCGUUCUUCGGACAGAUUUUUUUUAUUCCAGGGCUUCACUUUGGAUGAGCCAGCACGAAGAGAGAGGGCGAUCCACUUAGACUUAGACUUACACAGAGGGGGAGGGAGAGAGCGAGAGCAGCCAGAGCAGAGAGCUCCAUUAGAGACGAAAGAGAGGAGGCAGCAGGACGGAGGAUGAAGACGCUGCCGAGCGUCUGAAACACAAACAGGUAAACAAAAAAAAAAACCCGCUUUAUUCAUUUAUAAAAAAAACCUUUGUUUCAGAAAUCUGUCCUCUGAGUUUAAACCAUCUAAACUUAGAAUCGUUAGAUUAGUUCCUUUUAAGGUUUACUUUUAAAGAAAUGUCACAUUUAGAUCUCUCCUCUUUUUGUUUCAUGUAAACGUUCAGUGAAAAUGGAUUUUUCUGAUUGUCCGACAAUCAAAGCUCUGCUGAGCAGUUUCAUUAGUCUUCUGAGUCUCACAGUAAAACUCCAAAUAGUCCUGCUUUUUUCUGCAUUUUUAGUUUGAGCAGAGCAGUGUGAGCAAAGCUGUUUGCAGGAAAAUAUCGGAAAACUAAAGGUUUAAAAGUUGUGAAUGAAUGUGUGAAAAUGAAUGGAGGAUGCACAGAAUAAAGAAGAAAACAUAUGUGAAGCACUGCAACAGUUAUGGUGUCAGAGCAGCAGGUGGUAUUGUGCGCUGUGCAGACUCGGUUCAGGGUCAAAGGUCAGGCUCGUGCACUUCACUCAGAGAAUGUGUAAAAAUGGUUUGACACACAGCAAAUAUAAGCAUGAUGGUCCAAACUUUAGUUUUUGGUUCGCCUGAAGGCAGCUAUUAGGUUAGCUGUAUGCUAAAUGUCUGUGAUGAAGCUCCAUCGUGUGCUUGGUGUUCAGUCAGAUCAGAGCUUUAAAUGGUUUGAAAUUUGCAUUUUAAAGCCUCAACACUUGUUUGUAGAGCUGGUUUGACCGUAUUUAGACGAGCUCCGUUAUCGGCUCAUGCUAAUACAGCGAACUGUCCGCAGACUUUUAGCACAGGAGGGCACUGACUCAUGGCUGAAGCCGGCCUCAAGUGGCCACCAGAGGAACUGCAGCUGGAGAUAACCUAACAAACUAACGGCUGUCUUACAAAUAUCAUCUGCAAAUCUACCAGAAAAUAAAUAUGUGACAUCUGGGUAAUAUUGCUGUCAUAAGGAAGAAGGAAGUUUAGAUGCUUUUAUUAUUUUGUGCGUUUGAGAAUGGACAGCAGUAAAUGAGUGAAUGUUUAACACGUGUUCACAAACGUGGGGUCACCGGGUCUUUAACUCAUCUUUGGCUUCCAGUGGGAAUGAUUAUAAUACUGCCCGUAGUAUUUGAUGUAGUAUUGUGUGUAGAAAUCUCUGUUGCUUUAAUACAUGCUGUGUGUGUGUGUGUGUGUUUCCUGGCUGUUGUGUCGCUC